rnacentral:rRNA from 1 species
CCUACGGGGGGCAGCAGUGAGGAAUAUUGGUCAAUGGGCGAGAGCCUGAACCAGCCAAGUCGCGUGAAGGAUGACGGCCCUACGGGUUGUAAACUUCUUUUGUCAGGGAGCAAUUGGGUCCACGCGUGGGCUUAGCGAGAGUACCUGCAGAAAAAGCAUCGGCUAACUCCGUGACAGCAGCCGCGGUAAUACGGGGGAUGGGAGCGUUAUCCGGAUUUAUUGGGUUAAAGGGGUGCGUAGGCGGAAUAUCAAGUAAGCGGGAAAAAUUCGGGGCUCAACCCCGUCGUGCCGUUGAAACUGAUGUUCUUGAGUGGGCGAGAGGUAUGCGGAAUGCGUGGUGUAGCGGUGAAAUGCAUAGAUAUCACGCAGAACUCCGAUUGCGAAGGCAGCAUACCGGCGCCCAACUGACGCUGAAGCACGAAAGCGUGGGUAUCGAACAGGAUUAGAUACCCGAGUAGUC